ACUGGCAGUGUCUGCAUUAAACAGCUAUAAACAUCCUACUUUUAUUAUUUGUGUUUUAGAGGGUAGGGCCUGGUUUCUGACUCAGGCUUGCUCACGAUGUGGGUGAAGAGGUGACGCUGAGGGAGACUAUUCAACCAGCCAUCCAGAAGCAGAAAUAAACAUCCACAAUGACAAUUAUUUCCUUUAACAUCACCUCCAGAAGAAAAAAAAUGGCCCCUGGAGUCAGGAAUGAAGGCUUUCACAGGGUAGAGGGCCUGUUUGAAGCAGAAACCAGUGUUGACAGAGUCAUCGUCCUCUCCAUAAAUCGUCCCCAGAGCAAGGAACUGGCCUCCUCCCUCUUCUUACCAGCCAGCCACCCACCCCAACUCAAACCUGCUUUGCAGUCAGAAAAAGAUGUGUGUUCAUCUAUCUGCAUAUUCAUUAAAAUGCACCAAGUCUUGCAAAUGGCUUCCCCCAACCCCAUUCUCC
rnacentral:lncRNA from 1 species